rnacentral:rRNA from 1 species
UACAGAGGGGGCAAGCGUUGUUCGGAAUUACUGGGCGUAAAGGGCGCGUAGGCGGCCGGUUAAGUGGAACGGGAAAUCCCCGGGCUCAACCCGGGAACUGCGUCCGAUACUGGCAGGCUUGAAUUCGGGAGAGGGAUGUGGAAUUCCAGGUGUAGCGGUGAAAUGCGUAGAUAUCUGGAGGAACACCGGUGGCGAAGGCGGCAUCCUGGACCGAUAUUGACGCUGAUGCGCGAAAGCCAGGGGAGCAAACGGG